UACGGAAGGCAGCAGUGGGGAAUAUUGCACAAUGGGCGCAAGCCUGAUGCAGCCAUGCCGCGUGUAUGAAGAAGGCCUUCGGGUUGUAAAGUACUUUCAGUCGUGAGGAAGGUGUUAAGGUUAAUAACCUUAGCAAUUGACGUUAGCGACAGAAGAAGCACCGGCUAACUCCGUGCCAGCAGCCGCGGUAAUACGGAGGGUGCGAGCGUUAAUCGGAAUUACUGGGCGUAAAGGGCACGCAGGCGGUUAAUUAAGUUGGAUGUGAAAUCCCCGGGCUUAACCUGGGAAUGGCAUUCAAGACUGGUUAGCUAGAGUCUUGUAGAGGGGGUAGAAUUCCAUGUGUAGCGGUGAAAUGCGUAGAGAUGUGGAGGAAUACCGGUGGCGAAGGCGGCCCCUGGACAAGACUGACGCUCAUGUGCGAAAGCGUGGGGAGCAAACGAGGAUUAGAUACC
rnacentral:rRNA from 1 species